rnacentral:rRNA from 1 species
AGAGUUUGAUCCUGGCUCAGGAUGAACGCUGGCGGCGUGCUUAACACAUGCAAGUCGAACGAGCCUUCGGGCUAGUGGCGGACGGGUGAGUAACGCGUGGGAAUCUGCCCUCAGGAGGGGGAUAACGGCCGGAAACGGCCGCUAAUACCCCAUAUGCCGAGAGGUGAAACGAAUUUCGCCUGAGGAUGAGCCCGCGUCUGAUUAGCUAGUUGGUGAGGUAAUGGCUCACCAAGGCAUCGAUCAGUAGCUGGUCUGAGAGGAUGAUCAGCCACACUGGGACUGAGACACGGCCCAGACUCCUACGGGAGGCAGCAGUGGGGAAUUUUCCGCAAUGGGCGCAAGCCUGACGGAGCAACGCCGCGUGAGGGACGAAGGCCUCUGGGCUGUAAACCUCUUUUCUCAAGGAAGAAGACAUGACGGUACUUGAGGAAUAAGCCACGGCUAAUUCCGUGCCAGCAGCCGCGGUAAUACGGGAGUGGCAAGCGUUAUCCGGAAUUAUUGGGCGUAAAGCGUCCGCAGGCGGCCUUGAAAGUCUGUUGUUAAAGCGUGGAGCUCAACUCCAUUUCAGCAAUGGAAACUACAAGGCUAGAGUGUGGUAGGGGCAGAGGGAAUUCCCGGUGUAGCGGUGAAAUGCGUAGAUAUCGGGAAGAACACCAGUGGCGAAGGCGCUCUGCUGGGCCAUAACUGACGCUCAUGGACGAAAGCCAGGGGAGCGAAAGGGAUUAGAUACCCCUGUAGUCCUGGCCGUAAACGAUGAACACUAGGUGUCGGGAGAAUUAACCCUUUCGGUGUCGUAGCCAACGCGUUAAGUGUUCCGCCUGGGGAGUACGCACGCAAGUGUGAAACUCAAAGGAAUUGACGGGGGCCCGCACAAGCGGUGGAGUAUGUGGUUUAAUUCGAUGCAACGCGAAGAACCUUACCAGGGUUUGACAUCCUGCGAAUCCUUUGGAAACUUAGGAGUGCCUUCGGGAGCGCAGUGACAGGUGGUGCAUGGCUGUCGUCAGCUCGUGUCGUGAGAUGUUGGGUUAAGUCCCGCAACGAGCGCAACCCACGUCUUUAGUUGCCAGCAUUUAGUUGGGCACUCUAGAGAGACCGCCGGUGAUAAACCGGAGGAAGGUGUGGAUGACGUCAAGUCAUCAUGCCCCUUACAUCCUGGGCUACACACGUACUACAAUGCUACGGACAAAGGGCAGCAAACUCGCGAGAGCUAGCAAAUCCCAUAAACCGUGGCUCAGUUCAGAUCGUAGGCUGCAACUCGCCUACGUGAAGGAGGAAUCGCUAGUAAUCGCAGGUCAGCAUACUGCGGUGAAUACGUUCCCGGGCCUUGUACACACCGCCCGUCACACCAUGGAAGUUGGCCAUGCCCGAAGUCGUUACUCCAACCCGCAAGGGAGGAGGACGCCGAAGGUGGGGCUGAUGACUGGGGUGAAGUCGUAACAAGGUA